rnacentral:ncRNA from 1 species
UUAAAACCUUUGAAAAGAGAGAGUAGGUAAUGGAGUUUAGUUCCAGCGAGUUUGGGUAGGUGCGAGCCAAAUACUGUAGCUAUUAUUGAAUGGGUCUUUGAGGUGACUUUUUGAAUUAUAGUAGGAAGGUACGGAGGUCUACCGUUAAAAGGACAGGGUAUCGAGGAGUUUUUACAAAUCCGUACCUGAUGAAGAAUAUGUACUUAGGUGGCAUUGCGAAAUUGUGGUAUUUCGUCCUAGUUAGGAUGAAGUACCUUUUUUAUUACAAUGAAAUUUAAGUUAUACAAAAUGGGUGGCACCACGAGUCACUUCGUCCCAUUA